rnacentral:rRNA from 1 species
UAGUCCACGCCGUAAACGAUGGAUACUAGCUGUUCGGACUUCGGUCUGAGUGGCUAAGCGAAAGUGAUAAGUAUCCCACCUGGGGAGUACGUUCGCAAGAAUGAAACUCAAAGGAAUUGACGGGGGCCCGCACAAGCGGUGGAGCAUGUGGUUUAAUUCGAUGAUACGCGAGGAACCUUACCAGGGCUUAAAUGUAGGAUGCAUAGAGUAGAGAUAUUCUUUUCUUCGGACUUCUUACAAGGUGCUGCAUGGUUGUCGUCAGCUCGUGCCGUGAGGUGUCAGGUUAAGUCCUAUAACGAGCGCAACCCCUGUUGUUAGUUGCCAUCGAGUAAUGUCGGGAACUCUAACAAGACUGCCGGUGCAAACCGCGAGGAAGGUGGGGAUGACGUCAAAUCAUCACGGCCCUUACGUCCUGGGCUACACACGUGCUACAAUGGUAGGUACAGAGGGCAGCCACUGCGUGAGCAGGAGCGAAUCCUUAAAACCUAUCUCAGUUCGGAUCGGAGU